rnacentral:lncRNA from 1 species
GACGGAACUCCCAGGCCAGAGCCCGCAGCAAGGAUGACUUCUCUUGCUUUGGUUAAUAUCCUGUGAAAUGACUAAAUGCAAAUGGACCGACGGAGCGCUAGGUCCUGGGCUGACGGGCCACCCUAAUUCGGCUCCCUUCCUGCAGGGUCUGAGCUAUGACCGUUUUUCUGACGCUCUCCUGGAUGUCCUCAUGCGCAUCUCUCAUCAGUGACGAAAACUGGCCGCAUCGAAAUAACACCCGCUUUCCACCUCGCUGCUCCAUUUGCCGUGUUUACCUACGUGGCUGCUGGGGGCCCCUACCCUGGCCGGAUGCCCCGCCAGCUUCCAGCCCUUGCCCUCCAUUCUCUCUGGACUCCGGUGCCUCUCGACGUCCGAAUGAUCGAUUGCCAACCCUGUGCUUUCUUCCUAGGGAACAUCCGUAUCCUAUCUCGACACUGUUUGUCUCUCUCCGUCUCCACCACCGUCACCUCUGGAUCCAGCCUGGUGCCACCAUGCAGACGAAACUUCCGUCACACCUGUCUCCAGCCAAAGGCAUAAAUAAUCCGCCACGGGGAGGCUGGAAACUAUUUGAGAGCCAACAGCGUGAGGGGCUCCAUUGGGAGAAUCGUGUCUGUGCCCCAGAUUUCUAGCUCUCUGCUCAGCUCCCACCUGGGGUCUGCCUGAGUGACGUGCCCUCGCCUUGUCCCGAGAACCCUGGUCGAAGAAGCGUCUCUGUCUGCUCUGGCACUCACU